GCCAUGGUCUCCGAUGGUGAGAGAUGCGCAGGAAUAGACCUAGACCCCAGGGCUGGGCGGACUCUGCAGGACCAGGGCUUGUCAAAAAGAUGAAUUGAAUCUUCUGGUCAUUGUAGUUGACACCAACCCAAUUUGGUGGGGGAAGCAAGCAUUAAAAGAGUCUCAGUUCACCCUGUCCCGAUGCAUGGACGCCGUGCUGGUGCUGGGGAACGCCCACCUGUUCAUGAACCGCUGCAACCAGCUGGCUGUGAUCGCCAGCCACAUUCA